rnacentral:lncRNA from 1 species
AGAAUUGGCAUUCCACAGGGUGAUAGCAAGGUUGGGACGGGCGGGCCAGCCUGUGGGCAGUACGGGGAGUGGCUGAUCACAAACAGCGCAAAGCUUAUCCCACCAACUCGUUAGAGGGUGCUUCUCUUUCUGAGCCAGUUCAGGACUUGUAUCUUGGAGGAGAAACUCCUCCUCUGGGAUUCAGAGCUCAUUCCAGAUAAAUGCUCAAAUAGGAGAUAUUCUAACUUGUGGUUCAUAUUUUGUGCCAGCCAUGAAAGCAAAGCUUCUCUCUAUUGCUCUUGUAGCCCUCAAUUUCGGAGCUUGAGCCUAUCUCCAAGAUGGAAAAACAAGGGACAGGAGGCCUAAAAAGGAUUUGAUCUCUAUCAUUACCAUCUCUCAUCUCACUUACCCUUCCCACUACUUUCCCCCAUUUUCCUCUUGACCUCCCUGUGCCCAGAAUGCUCACUCGAGAACUUGGGAGAGGUGAACAAGGGAGGGUGAGACGUGAGCUAGAGAUGGCUGAGAGACAAGAUGCUCCAGGGCAGUCCCCACAUCCCCCGUUAACCUGCGUGCUUCCCAUUCCAAGGGAUGACAUGCACCUUAGCUACCCUUAACUACACCCCAAUCACUCCCUCUCCUCAGACAAAAAGCAAUUCCAGGAAAUAGAAGUUAGUUUUCACUUAAACAGGAUGUGACUAUGAUGUAUGUUUCAAUUUCAGCUGGUGGUGACCUGGCUUCUAAUAGGAACCCACAUCCCCCAGUCCUUGGCGGAGAAUGCCUGACAGUGUGGCCAGAUUCCUGAGGUUUAUGACCUUGUGACCCACAGAGCAUUUCAGUCCUCUUCACUCAGCCUAGCAGGCAGAUUUGGGGACUAAUCAUACUGGGAGUCACUAUUUCCUGCAAGAAACCUUCCCUUAGGAAGCUUUGUAACAUUUCUUUGCAAUAUCAAAGAGAGACUGAGAGACAGCAAGCUUUAAUUUUCACCUGUGACUUAAAAUUAAUAUGUAAAUAUAGGAAGGAGAAAGAGGAAACUGCGUGGAUGGAAUGACCUGAGACAUCUGGGUCUUUAUUCAUUCCAAUAUUAUUUUAUGAGAUUACUAUUCAGCUACAUACAUGAAAGAGACUUCUGAAUGGCAGACAGGGCAGAAGGCUUGACUUACCUAGAUUGCAUAUAAUCAGUAUGUAAGGAGUUAGGAUUUUUCUAACAGUAAAAGCAAUCUUGACUAAGGCAUUUGAAGCAAAAGUUAACACUACCUGAAUCUUAGAUCAAAUAGAAGGGUUUACCCCAGAGAACUAUCAAGCAUUUUUUUCCAGAGAUCUGUGGGGAAACCUACAAUUUGAUUUUUGAGGGUAAGUUGGGGAGUAGAGGAGAGUUUCUGAAAACUCUCCCUACUAUUUCCUGUUUUAUUUUUUGAGACGGAGUCUUGCUCUGUCACCAGGCUGGAGUGCAGUUGCACAAUCUUGGCUCACUGUAACCUCCGUCUCCCGGGUUCAAGCAAUUCUCCUGCCCCAGCCUCCCAAGUAGCUGGGACUACAGGCACGUGCCAAAACACCCAGCUAAUUUUUGUAUUUUUAGUAGAGACAGAGUUUCACCAUGUUGGCCAGGAUGGUCUCGAUCUCUUGACCUUGUGAGCCACCUGUCUCAGCCUCCCAAAGCGCUGGGAUUACAGGCGUGAGCCACCGCGCCCAGCCUAUUUCUUCAUCCUUAAUUCUAUUUUCCUGGUUCACUUUGUAGAAUUUGCUACACAGGAUGUCUUUCACUGUUAAAAUUUUCAUGUUUCCUUGGUUACUAGGUUGCAGUUUUCUCCUAAGCCCCUCUGUCUCUCUGCAUAUGAACUUGGUGACAGGGAUUGGGAAGUGAAUUUUUUUGAUGAUCUUAUUGCUACUGUAGUUAAGAAUCAGCACUGUUAAGCAAAUGGGGCCUUGGGGAUCAUAGUUCAACUUCUUUUAUUUUACAAAUGAGAAAACCAAGUUCAGAAAAGUUAAGCAACUUGCCUAAGGUCACAGAGCCUGUUCAUGCCAGGGCUGCCUCAAGAAUCCAGGCCUGUUAACUCUGAGUCAAGUACUAAAUACAUGACUCCAUUGCUGGCCUUUUUCUUUUCUUUUUUUUUAAAUGCCUGAAAUUCUUUACCCUCUUGAGACUCAGCUGAGCAUUUGGCCAACCUGGUGUAAAUAUCAGGCUUUUUCUUAAGUGACAAAGUUUUGAUACUAUCAAAGAACACGGGAAACUACUAUCUGCUCCCGGGGGUGGACACAGAUUAGAUGGACAUUUGGAAAGCUGGAGGCCCUGAAGAGAAAGGUGACACAUUACAGGGUUCAGUUUGCGAUUAAUACUAAGCAUUCUGAUGGCAUGCUGCUUCCACGCAGGGGACAGAGAUAUCGCUUUCCCAUGGACUCUAAUUUGUCUCCAUAGUCUCUCUUCUAGCAGAUCCAGAGAUGGAUCUUGACUAAAAAGAUAGACGUGCUGAUUGUCUUCUUAAAGAAAAAUUCUGUGGUGGAGGAGGUAGCCUCUUUUAAAAUCUGGGAAAGAUGUAGAUUUUUGAGAAUGAAGAGGGUUUAAAUUAAACAUAGUUCAAAAAAUUAAACACAAGAGGGAAACUAAUGGAAUCCUUCAUAAAAUGUUUAAAAUAUUGCCUACGAAUCUCAAUACUUCUACAGAUUAUUUUCAGAAAAUAACGGGUUUUAAGAGAGCUGAGCUGUGGCCGUUUUGGUGAUGAACUGCUUGGAUCCCCUUUCGAACAGGCUGGGCUAGUUUCAAUUUCUCUAAAGUCGUCUGUAUUAUUAGCAUUCAUGUAAAGAAAGGUUCAGAGGUUUGCUUU